rnacentral:rRNA from 1 species
UACGGAGGGUGCAAACGUUGCUCGGAAUUAUUGGGCGUAAAGCGUACGUAGGCGGUCCAGCAAGUCGGGUGUGAAAGCCCUUGGCUUAACCAAGGAAGUGCAUUCGAAACUACUGGACUUGAAUACUGGAGAGGAUCGCGGAAUUCCCGGUGUAGAGGUGAAAUUCGUAGAUAUCGGGAGGAACACCAGUGGCGAAGGCGGCGAUCUGGACAGAUAUUGACGCUGAUGUACGAAAGCGUGGGGAGCGAACAGG